CUGCCAAAAACACAAGUGCCCACAGGCUGUGUGAUCUCCAGCAGGGAAAGCUUCCACAAUGAAGUGCUUUCUGGGUAUCCUUCUUGCCUUUGGAAUCUUGGUGACACUAUGUGAUGCAUGGUAUUUUUAUAAACAAAAUGACCCAUUGGAAUCUACCAAAGCUACCAUUCGCCUCGGGAUUAUGACAGAGAAAAAUGUGAAAGCUUUUUCAACAAGGAUACCUGCAGCUACAGUGCGGUGGAGAAGGCCGACCCCUCCAAAGACACCAAAUCUGAAAAAUUGGGAUGGGGAUAAGGGGUAAUAUGAGCCUAUAUAAGAAAAAGACCCAAAAAUUGGGACUGUCCCUAUAAAAUUGGGACAUCUGGUCACCCUACCUGCGAGGUCUGUGAUUGGGUGGGUUAAUUACGAAUCCAUUGAGAAUUUCUCUGCAUAGUGCCUCUCCUUCCCCUUCUAUGGAUGAUCAACAACAGAAUGAGUCUGUUCUUCAGAGAUUCAUGAUGGUCUUUGAAGAAUCGCAACUAACAGCUGGUUUUUAUUCUCCUUGUUGAGUAGCAGUUCAGUGUGUGAGAAUGCACUGUACCUGAUUCUAUAUUGUUUCUGUUAUUCCCUGCAUUAGCAUAACUGAGCUUUGAUCACCCAAGUAAAAUAAACUCAGAUGAAGCAUCA